UCAUCGUCUCAGCAUUCCAUGUCCCAAUUUUAAAAUAGUCAUAUUUAAUAUCUACAUGAAUUUGGCUGGAUGACGACCUGGAUAUCUUCUAUCUAUUCCUGUUGGAUCUUAGUAUUCUAAUUCCAAUAUCAGUUAGUCCCACUUCCUUUCUUGUGUAGAUCAUUAUUAGUUAGUGAUAGCUUCUUGGGUAGGAAUAUCAUGAAGAUCUGUAAUGCAGUGGUUUUCCUAUUGUCUUCUGUAUCUCCCUGGCUGAUGGUCAGUCUUUUAAGGUGAUUUAUUAUAUUCAGGGCAGAGAAUACCCUUCUCCUGCUACUCAUCCACCCUCUAGGUCGUUGGUUUUCAGAGUUUGCUUCUUAUUCUGGUAAUUGGUCGUAUUACUGUAGUUGUCUAUUUGAGACUUCUUAAGGUAGCUCAGACCCCUGGAUGCACUAAACCCACAGUAUAUAUCAAAC